rnacentral:tRNA from 1 species
CCCUGGUUGGUGCAAUCGGUUAGCACAUCGUUCGUUGAUGUCGAAGGCUGUAGGUUCAAGCCCUGCACUGGGGG